UACAGAGGUGGCAAGCGUUGUCCGGAUUUACUGGGCGUAAAGAGCGCGCAGGCGGUCGUUCAAGUCGAGUGUGAAAGCCCCCGGCUCAACUGGGGAGGGUCACUCGAUACUGAUCGACUUGAAGGCAGGAGAGGGAAGCGGAAUUCCCGGUGUAGUGGUGAAAUGCGUAGAUAUCGGGAGGAACACCAGUGGCGAAGGCGGCUUCCUGGCCUGUUCUUGACGCUGAGGCGCGAAAGCUAGGGGAGCAAACGGG
rnacentral:rRNA from 1 species